GGAGGGGUGGCCGAGUGGCUGAAGGCGCCGGUUUGCUAAACCGGUAUACGGCUAACACUGUAUCGAGGGUUCGAAUCCCUCUCCCUCCGCCA
rnacentral:tRNA from 1 species